rnacentral:tRNA from 2 species
AUUUAAGUAAUUUAAUAAAAAUAUUGACUUGUGGCGUCAAAAAUGUAAAAUGUUACCUUAAAUU